AUAUUUUACAAUGGGCGCAAGCCUGCUCCAGCCAUGCCGCGUGUGUGAAGCAGGUCUUCGGAUUGNACAGCACUUUAAUUUGGGAGNGAGGGCAGUUAACGAAUACUUAACUGUUUUGACGUUACCAAAAGAAUAAGCACCAGCUAACUUCGUGCCAGCAGCCGCGGUAAUACCAAGGGUGCAAGCGUUAAUAGGAAUUACUGGGCGUAAAGCGCGCUUAGGUGGUACGUUAAGUUGGAAGUGAAAGCCCCGGGCUCAACCUGGGAAUUGCUUUCAAAACUGGCGAGCUAGAGUACGGUAGAGGGUGGUGGAAUUUCCUGUGUAGCGGUGAAAUGCGUAGAUAUAGGAAGGAACAUCAGUGGCGAAGGCGACCACCUGGACUGAUACUGACACUGAGGUGCGAAAGCGUGGGGAGCAAACAGG
rnacentral:rRNA from 1 species